rnacentral:rRNA from 1 species
UACGUAGGCAGCGAGCGUUGUUCGGAAUUACUGGGCGUAAAGAGUGUGUAGGCGGUGCUCUAAGUUCGGUGUGAAAUCUCCUGGCUCAACUGGGAGGGUGCGCCGGAAACUGGAGUGCUUGAGCGUGGGAGAGGAAAGCGGAAUUCCUGGUGGAGCGGUGAAAUGCGUAGAUAUCGUUUGGAACGCCAAUGGUGAAAACAGGUAACUGGGGAUGUGCCGACGCUGAGACACGAAAGCCAGGGGAGCGAACGGG